AAACUUACCUGACGCGAGAGGCAUCUUGAUCAACUAGGAGGUCCUCUCAGGAUGAGGCCCUUUCAUUGCACUUCGACUGGGUUGACUCCUGCGAUUACCCCUAAUGUGGGUAACUCGAGCGUAUAAUUUCUGGUAGUGGGGACCUGCGUUCGCGCUCGUCCCCU
rnacentral:snRNA from 1 species